rnacentral:rRNA from 1 species
UAUUGGUCAAUGGGUGAGAGCCUGAACCAGCCAUGCCGCGUGCAGGAAGACGGCCUUCUGGGUUGUAAACUGCUUUUACCGGGGGAUAAAAUUCCCAUGCGUGGGACAUUGCAGGUACCCGGUGAAUAAGCCACGGCUAACUACGUGCCAGCAGCCGCGGUAAUACGUAGGUGGCAAGCGUUAUCCGGAUUCAUUGGGUUUAAAGGGAGCGUAGGUGGCCGUGUAAGUCAGUGGUGAAAUCUCUGGGCUUAACCCAGAAAUUGCCAUUGAUACUGCAGGGCUUGAGUAUAGAUGCCGUUGGCGGAAUAUGACAUGUAGUGGUGAAAUACAUAGAGAUGUCAUAGAACACCGAUUGCGAAGGCAGCUGACGAAACUAUAACUGACACUGAGGCUCGAAAGUGUGGGGAUCAAA